rnacentral:pre_miRNA from 1 species
CCGGAUGAUGGUUCACAACGACCGUACAGUUUUUUCAACGGGUCGGUGGGACUUUCGUCCGUUU